rnacentral:rRNA from 1 species
GAAAGCCUUCGGCUUAACCGGAGUAGGGCAUUGGAAACGGGGAGACUUGAGUGAAGAAGAGGAGGGUGGAACUCAAUGUGUAGCGGUGAAAUGCGUAGAUAUAGGGAAGAACACCAGUGGCGAAAGCGGCUCUCUGGUCUGUAACUGACGCUGAGGUUCGAAAGCGUGGGUAGCAAACAG